ACCAUUAGAUGAAUUUCUAUGAAAGUACUGGUUACUUUUAAAAGUCAAUCACGUUUAUCUUGAAAAAUCCUAACAAAGUUCAUCAAAUUUGGUGUAAAUUUGGUUGGUAGUAGCAGAGAGUAAUUCACAACAUACUCGUUGCAUUUGCAUUAACUGCAGGAGUAUUGUUUGYCUGUUAGCAAAAUAACAAAAGAAGCCACUUGGUGGGUUUAAAUGAAACUUUGAGACAACAUUAGUUUUUUGUUAUUUCAGCUGCUUCAGGAGUCACCACAACAAGCCUGGAUCUGAACCUACAGCCUCAAAACCACUGGAGCACGACGCUGACCACCGAGCUUCUACAGCCCCCCCAGAAUGUAAUCGUUUGGAGGAAACAGAUGUAUCCAGAGCUCGUGUGUGCAUGGUGAGGACAUGAAACUCCAUUAAGAGGGAAUGUUCUGGUUCCAGGAGCCUGAAAGUGGAGAAACCUGCAGGAUGGGGGACCUUCGAGAACCAGGACUGGACCCCGCUGGUUGAGGUCGGUGCGGCAGCAUCGUCUUCUGUUUCCUUGCUGUGCGUGUGUUUGUGUGUUUGAUGAUCAACAAUAGGCUAUCUGUUUGUUUCUGGUGGGCGGGGCUUCAGAAAUUUGGCCUCUGCAGUUGAUUGGCUGUGAGAAGUUUACUUUGGCGUGUGCUCCUUUUUUUUGUGAUUUUUUUUCUUCUUUCUUCCAAUUAAAUGUGGAAUGCAGGACUCUUGAAGGCCAUUUGAAGUGUGUGUGUGUG